rnacentral:rRNA from 1 species
UACGAAGGGCGCUAGCGUUGUUCGGAAUUACUGGGCGUAAAGCGCACGUAGGCGGAUUGCUAAGUCAGGGGUGAAAUCCCGGGGCUCAACCUCGGAACUGCCUUUGAUACUGACAAUCUCGAGUCCGAUAGAGGUGGGUGGAAUUCCUAGUGUAGAGGUGAAAUUCGUAGAUAUUCGGAAGAACACCAGUGGCGAAGGCGGCUCACUGGACUGGUAUUGACGCUGAGGUGCGAAAGCGUGGGGAGCAAACAGG